rnacentral:rRNA from 1 species
AACGCGAAGAACCUUACCUACUCUUGACGUCCAGAGAACUUUCCAGAGAUGGAUUGGUGCCUUCGGGAACUCUGAGACAGGUGCUGCAUGGCUGUCGUCAGCUCGUGUUGUGAAAUGUUGGGUUAAGUCCCGCAACGAGCGCAACCCUUAUCCUUGUUUGCCAGCGAGUAAUGUCGGGAACUCCAGGGAGACUGCCGGUGAUAAACCGGAGGAAGGUGGGGACGACGUCAAGUCAUCAUGGCCCUUACGAGUAGGGCUACACACGUGCUACAAUGGCAUAUACAGAGGGCAGCAAGACCGCGAGGUGGAGCGAAUCCCAGAAAGUAUGUCGUAGUCCGGAUCGGAGUCUGCAACUCGACUCCGUGAAGUCGGAAUCGCUAGUAAUCGUGGAUCAGAAUGCCACGGUGAAUACGUUCCCGGGC